rnacentral:rRNA from 1 species
AGAUUGAACGCUGGCGGCGUGCCUAACACAUGCAAGUCGAGCGGUAACAGGUGUAGCAAUACAUGCUGACGAGCGGCGAACGGGUGAGUAAUGCUUUGGAAUCUUCCCAGUAGUGGGGAAUAACCAGUCGAAAGAUUGGCUAAUACCGCAUACGUCUGUAAAGGGAAAGCGGGGGCUCGUAAGACCUCGCGCUAUUGGAUGAGCCAAAGUCGGAUUAGCUAGUUGGUGGGGUAAUGGCCUACCAAGGCGACAAUCCGUAGCUGGUCUGAGAGGACGACCAGCCACACCGGAACUGAGACACGGUCCGGACUCCUACGGGAGGCAGCAGUGGGGGAAUAUUGGACAAUGGGGGAAACCCUGAUCCAGCGACGCCGCGUGUGUGAAGAAGGCCUGCGGGUUGUAAAGCACUUUUAGUGGGGACAAAAGCUACGGACUAAUAUUCUGUGGUCUUGAUUUAACCCAAGAAAAGCACCGGCUAACUCUGUGCCAGCAGCCGC